AGAGUUUGAUCCUGGCUCAGGAUGAACGCUAGCGGCAGGCUUAACACAUGCAAGUCGAGGGGCAGCGGGGAGGAAGCUUGCUUUCUCCGCCGGCGACCGGCGCACGGGUGAGUAACACGUAUGCAACCUGCCCCUGUCAGGGGGACAACCCGCCGAAAGGCGGGCUAAACCCGCGUACAUGCCACCGGGGCAUCCCGGAGGCAGGAAAGGCUUCGGCCGGACAGGGAUGGGCAUGCGGCGCAUUAGGCAGUAGGCGGGGUAACGGCCCACCUAACCGACGAUGCGUAGGGGUUCUGAGAGGAAGGUCCCCCACACUGGUACUGAGACACGGACCAGACUCCUACGGGAGGCAGCAGUGAGGAAUAUUGGUCAAUGGGCGCGAGCCUGAACCAGCCAAGUCGCGUGAGGGAAGACGGUCCUAUGGAUUGUAAACCUCUUUUGUCGGGGAGCAAAAGACGUCACGUGUGGCGUUCCGAGAGUACCCGAAGAAAAAGCAUCGGCUAACUCCGUGCCAGCAGCCGCGGUAAUACGGAGGAUGCGAGCGUUAUCCGGAUUUAUUGGGUUUAAAGGGUGCGCAGGCGGAAGAUCAAGUCAGCGGUAAAAUUGAGAGGCUCAACCUCUUCGAGCCGUUGAAACUGGUUUUCUUGAGUGAGCGAGAAGUAUGCGGAAUGCGUGGUGCAGCGGUGAAAUGCAUAGAUAUCACGCAGAACUCCGAUUGCGAAGGCAGCAUACCGGCGCUCAACUGACGCUCAUGCACGAAAGCGUGGGUAUCGAACAGGAUUAGAUACCCUGGUAGUCCACGCAGUAAACGAUGAAUACUAACUGUCCGGGCCGAUUGAGGUCUGGGUGGUGCAGCGAAAGCGUUAAGUAUUCCACCUGGGGAGUACGCCGGCAACGGUGAAACUCAAAGGAAUUGACGGGGGCCCGCACAAGCGGAGGAACAUGUGGUUUAAUUCGAUGAUACGCGAGGAACCUUACCCGGGCUCAAACGACGGAUGGAUGUUUUUGAAAGAAGGCAGCCCUUCGGGGCAUCCGUCGAGGUGCUGCAUGGUUGUCGUCAGCUCGUGCCGUGAGGUGUCGGCUUAAGUGCCAUAACGAGCGCAACCCCCAUCGCCAGUUACCAGCAAGUAAAGUUGGGGACUCUGGCGAGACUGCCGGCGCAAGCUGUGAGGAAGGCGGGGAUGACGUCAAAUCAGCACGGCCCUUACGUCCGGGGCGACACACGUGUUACAAUGGCAGGUACAGAGAGAAGCGAUGCGGCGACGCAGAGCGGAACUUCAAAGCCUGUCUCAGUUCGGAUUGGAGUCUGCAACCCGACUCCAUGAAGCUGGAUUCGCUAGUAAUCGCGGAUCAGCACGCCGCGGUGAAUACGUUCCCGGGCCUUGCACACACCGCCCGUCAAG
rnacentral:rRNA from 1 species